rnacentral:rRNA from 1 species
CGAAGGUAGCAUAGUCAGUAGUCUUUUAAUUGGAGGCUUGAAUGAAUGGUUGGACGAGAGACAAGCUGUCUCCUUGAUGUAGUCUUGAAUUUAACUUUUGAGUGAAAAGGCUCAAAUUUUCUAGGGGGACGAUAAGACCCUAUAAAACUUAAUAUCAAUUUGGUUUGAUUUGCGAUUUUAGUGAAAAGUAGUCGUGCUUGACUGAUAUUUCGUUGGGGAGAUGAAGAUAUAAAUUGUAACUGUCUAUUUAAUUCAAUAGCUAUGGUUAGUGUGUGAUCCUUCUUUGUGGAUUAAGAGAGUAAGUUACUUUAGGGAUAACAGCGUGAUUUUCCUUGAGAGUUCUUAUCGACAGGAGUAGUUGCGACCUCGAUGUU